rnacentral:ncRNA from 1 species
UUGAUAGAGGCGCGGAGUUUAUCAGUAGCUUAGAGUAUUUAAGGCAAUUAGCUUUAAGUGAAAGGAAAUUCUGCCGAAGACAGGUUGGUUUGCCUUAAACCGCUUGCCUGGGUCGUCGGGUAACACCCGCCGGACUGUCGCAUUUUUGCGGAGGGCUAUCAG